GACGAACGCUGGCGGCGUGCCUAAUACAUGCAAGUAGAACGCUGAAACUUGGUGCUUGCACCGAGCGGAAGAGGUGCGAACGGGUGAGUAACGCGUAGGUAACCUGCCUGGUAGCGGGGUAUAACUAUGGGAAACGAUAUCUAAUACCGCAUAAGAGUAGAUGUUACAUGACGUUUGCUUAAAAGGUGCAAGUGGACCACUACCAGACGGACCUGCGUUGUAUUAGCUUGUUGGUGGGGUAACGGCUCACCAAGGCGACGAUACAUAGCCGCCCUGAGAGGGUGGUCGGCCACACUGGGACUGUGACCCGCCCCAGACUCCUACGGGAGGCAGCCGUAGGGCAUCGUCGGCCAUGGACGGAAGUCUGACCGAGAUACGCCGCGUGCGGGAGCAAGGUUUUCGCAUCGUAGAGCUCUGUUGUAAGAGAAGAACGAGUGUGAGAGUGUAAAGUUCCCACUGUGACGGUAUCUUACAAGAAAGCGCCGGCUAACUACGUG
rnacentral:rRNA from 1 species